GUGGCUCAAUGGUAGAGUGCUUGCCUUGCAUGCAUGAGGUCCUAGGUUCAAUUCCCCAGC
rnacentral:tRNA from 1 species